UUGAAAGGGAAACGAUUGAAGUCAGUCAUACCAACGGGAAAUCAACCUCUUGAGCUCGGUCUCGUGGGUUUUGAAGAGUUUCAAAGCCUUCGGAUUCGCGAGAUUGGGAUCUCUUGGUGUACUUUUUCGUACGGUUAGUCAACAUCGGUUUUGUAUGUCAUAAAAUGACUGGAGGAAUGUAGCUUCGAUCUCGUAUUGAAGUGUUAUAGCCUUUGGUAGAUGUGAUGUUUGAGACCGAGGAUUGCAGCGGAUACCCUUCAGGGCUAUUCGUCUGAUCUCUGAUACGUUGCCUUGAUGUCGAAAGCUCGCCUAUGAUGUUAGGGUAUUACGGUCAAAAGGUUAGAGCGAAUUACAUUCGUUAAGGAUGUUGACGUA
rnacentral:rRNA from 1 species